rnacentral:lncRNA from 1 species
AUUCUUCCUGGGCUUGACUUUCUGAUAAGAUAGUUCCAGAAAGUGAUGUGCUGGGCUGACUCCUGUUUCAGUGUGCUGGCUCCUGUAGACCUCGUUUUUAGACACUGAACUUUCCCAGACAUUAUGUGAAGAAUUUGAGUGGUGAAACGGAGCAUGAGAGAUUGACUAGCUAACAGAGGGCCCAAAGUUAGGUAUUGUGGUACUGAAAGACAUGUUGAACAUGUUGAAAGGAAGAAAUUCCAACUUCAGAAUAAAGAUUGACGGGAGCAGGUGUUCCCAGUGCUCUGCACCUCCAGUUAAAAACAAACAGUGGGAAGCUUCAAAGAGGGACACAGAGAGUAAACUCUGUGGCAGAGGCAAAGUGUUACCUGUCCCCUCCUGCCCACUCAAGGCCAAAAGAGGAAUAAAGGAAAAAAGGAGAGAGGAAAAUCUUGAAUUCUUGGAAUUAUCUGGGAUAGGAAGUAAUUUCAGACAUGCCUGCCUACAAGUCAUUGCUCCAGCAACCAGUUCCUCGAGUAAGAUGGUGACGUUUUACUGAAAAAUAACACCUGCAAACGAAAGAUUCUAAAAUGAGACCAUUGUUGAAAUGCCGUGAACUCCUUGCUUAGCUUAUGGAGAUUAGAGAAUUACACCUCUGACGGUGCAUGUUAAGGGGUUCCUGUGAUCUGCUAGGAGGAGCGAUGACAACAUUAUGGGAAACAUACUGCAGUGGGUCCAGAGAGAAGAAUAGAGAAAUGAGACACUGAAGUUAUAAAACCUGUGAGCUAUUGAUGUAGCACCCUAAAUUCAAGGGGUUCAUUUUGAUUUUUUUUUUUUUUUUUUUUGGUAAAUACAUUGAAUUUAGCCAAAGUUUUAAGAAACACAAGUAAUAGUUAUUAUUAAAUUCUGUGUGUGUAUGUGAAGGUAAUUUGUGUUUGUCUAGAGCCUUGCCUUAAAUUACCUUGCCUAUAAAUUACAUUUUCAUUUGAAACUUUUGGCUGUGAUUUUUCACGUCUAUCAACAGUUGUGUGGGUUUUUUGGUUUUUUUUUUGUUUUUUUUUGUUUUUUUUUAACUUUUAAGAUAGAUUCAUUUAUGGAGCAUGCAGUAGUUCUUUAAAAGAUCUUUUUUUUAUUUUGUUGUUUUUGUUUUAAAGUAAAUCUGGUACUUUAAAUCACUUCUGUGCUAUUGCAAGUAAAAUAUCUUCCUGUUCAUGAAACAAGAACUCCAACUCUUUGGGUUGUAUUUCUAUUACAUGUUAUGCACAGCCAUGUCUAACAGGAAAACAAAAUGAGUAAAUCAGCAACCCAUAGCAACAGCUUAGAGAUAUAAGCACUCUCUGUGUUAAAAAUAAACCCAAAAGUUUGUUUAACUUUCA